UACAGAGGGGGCAAGCGUUAUUCGGAAUUAUUGGGCGUAAAGGGCGCGUAGGCGGCUUUACAAGUGACGGGUGAAAUCCCUCGGCUUAACCGAGGAACUGCCUGUCAGACUGCAUGGCUCGAGACCAGGAGAGGUGAGUGGAAUUCCCAGUGUAGCGGUGAAAUGCGUAGAUAUUGGGAGGAACACCAGUGGCGAAGGCGGCUCACUGGACUGGUACUGACGCUGAUGCGCGAAAGCGUGGGGAGCAAACAGG
rnacentral:rRNA from 1 species